GUUGUUUUUCUUAAUACUUUGUCUGUAGCCAGAGAUAUUUCGACACGAUGUCGAAAUAAGUCGGCCUUGAGCCAGGACGGCGAAUGGCCGACGGUCUCGUACGGUAAAAAAGAGUAAACCAAAGUAUUUAGAAAAACAGC
rnacentral:ncRNA from 1 species